GCUCAGGAUGAACGCGGCGGCGUGCCUAAUACAUGCAAGUCGAACGAGUUCUGAUUAUUGAAAGGUGCUUGCAUCUUGAUUUAAUUUUGAACGAGUGGCGGACGGGUGAGUAACACGUGGGUAACCUGCCCUUAAGUGGGGGAUAACAUUUGGAAACAGAUGCUAAUACCGCAUAAAUCCAAGAACCGCAUGGUUCUUGGCUGAAAGAUGGCGUAAGCUAUCGCUUUUGGAUGGACCCGCGGCGUAUUAGCUAGUUGGUGAGGUAACGGCUCACCAAGGCAAUGAUACGUAGCCGAACUGAGAGGUUGAUCGGCCACAUUGGGACUGAGACACGGCCCAAACUCCUACGGGAGGCAGCAGUAGGGAAUCUUCCACAAUGGACGCAAGUCUGAUGGAGCAACGCCGCGUGAGUGAAGAAGGCUUUCGGGUCGUAAAACUCUGUUGUUGGAGAAGAAUGGUCGGCAGAGUAACUGUUGUCGGCGUGACGGUAUCCAACCAGAAAGCCACGGCUAACUACGUGCCAGCAGCCGCGGUAAUACGUAGGUGGCAAGCGUUAUCCGGAUUUAUUGGGCGUAAAGCGAGCGCAGGCGGUUUUUUAAGUCUGAUGUGAAAGCCCUCGGCUUAACCGAGGAAGUGCAUCGGAAACUGGGAAACUGAGUGCAGAAGA
rnacentral:rRNA from 2 species